AAAUUGAAGAGUUUGAUCAUGGCUCAGAUUGAACGCUGGCGGCAGGCCUAACACAUGCAAGUCGAACGGUAACAGGAAGCAGCUUGCUGUUUCGCUGACGAGUGGCGGACGGGUGAGUAAUGUCUGGGAAACUGCCUGAUGGAGGGGGAUAACUACUGGAAACGGUGGCUAAUACCGCAUAACGUCGCAAGACCAAAGAGGG
rnacentral:rRNA from 1 species